rnacentral:rRNA from 1 species
UCCGUAGGCGGAUUGAUAAGUCAGAGGUGAAAUCCCACAGCUUAACUGUGGAACUGCCUUUGAAACUGUUAGUCUUGAGUUAUAUGGAAGUAGAUAGAAUGUGUAGUGUAGCGGUGAAAUGCAUAGAGAUUACACAGAAUACCGACUGCGAAGGCAGUCUACUACGUAUAUACUGACGCUAAUGGACGAAAGCGUGGGGAGCGAACAGGAUUAGAUACCCUGGUAGUCC